GACGGCUACAACUGAAGACACACAAAGCAUCCAAAUGGUGAAGCAAGUUUUCAUCCUGCUGGUCAUCAGCCUGGUCAUCUCCCUGACCUAUUCCUACCACACAGUUGGACGACGGAGCGCCUACAGCGGCAGAAACUACUACUACGGCAACACCCCUCUCAGCAACAAAAACUUCCUUCGCUAUGGUUACGGUUAUGACUACAGCCCAGAGUAUGUAGACGUCAACUACAACUAUGGCGGCAGAUAUCUUUACUAAACAUUAUGGUCCUUGGCGUCCUUUGGUGAAUUCGGUGGCGUGAAGUUAUGUCAUAUUGCCUUCUCGUGUAGCUUUAUUAGAAAUAAAAAGAACUCAUCAUAC